AACGAACGCUGGCAGCGUGGAUUAGGCAUGCAAGUCGAACGGGAUCCGGAAGGUAGCAAUACCGGCCGGUGAGAGUGGCGGGAGGGCGAGGAGCACGUGGACAACCUGUCCCGUGGGUGGGGAUACCGUCCCGAAAGGGGCGUUAAUACCGAAUGGGGCCCCGGCCCGCAUGGUCCGGCGGCCAAAGGCCGGGACCGCAAGGCCCGCCCCCCCGGGAGGGGUCCGCGCACCAUCAGCUAGACGGCGGGGUAACGGGCCACCGUGGCUUACGGUUAGCCGGUCUGAGAGGAGGAUCAGCCGCACUGGAACGGAGACACUGCCCAGACGCCUACGGGAGGCUGCAGUCGGGGAUCAUUCGCAAUGGGCGAAAGCCUGACGAUGCGACGCUGCGUGGAGGAUGAAGGCCCUCGGGUCGUAAACUCCUGUCAUGGGGGGCGAGGCGGAGGCGGUUAACGGCCGCCCGAGUUGACGGUACCCCAAGAGGAAGCCACGGCUAACUCUGUG
rnacentral:rRNA from 1 species